rnacentral:tRNA from 1 species
GGAGAGAUGUCCGAGCGGUUGAAGGAGCACGCCUGGAAAGCGUGUGUACUCAAAAGGUACCGAGGGUUCGAAUCCCUCUCUCUCCGCCA